rnacentral:RNase_P_RNA from 1 species
AACGAUCGCGCCGACUUACCGCAAGGUUUUUCGGUGAGGAAAGUCCGGGCUUCAAAGAGCAGGAUAACGGAUAACGUCCGCCGGAGGUGACUCCCGGGAAAGUGCAACAGAGAUAUACCGCCGCAAGAAAUUGCGGUAAGGGUGGAAAGGCGAGGUAAGAGCUCACCGGCGCAGCGGAGACGCUGUUGCCCUGUAAACCCUAUCCGAAGCAACGCCUUGACGCAUUUUCUGCGUUAUGCGCAGAACCGUCUGCUCGGCGGAAUAUGCAAAGGCGGCACAGAGCUUUGCGGCAACGCAAAGACAAGAUAGAUGAUCGUUCGCGACAGAACCCGGCUUACAGUCCCGGUCG